GGGGAGAGAAGUGGGCGCAUCGCCAUGGCCGCGGCGCCGUUCUUGAAGCAUUGGCGCACUACUUUUGAGCGGGUGGAGAAGUUCGUGUCUCCGAUCUACUUCACCGACUGUAACCUCCGCGGCAGGCUCUUCGGGGACAGCUGCCCGGUGACACUGUCCAGCUUCCUAACGCGGGAGAGGCUUCCCUAUGAGGAGGCGGUGCAGAAGAACUUCUGCCCUGCGCAGGUCGGCGACAGCUUCGGACCCACAUGGUUGGACCUGCUGGUUCCGGGUAGAACUGGUCAUCCCCGAAGCAUGGGUGGGCCAGGAAGUCCAUCUUUGCUGGGAAAGUGAUGGAGAAAGCCUUGUCUGGCGUGAUGGAGAACCUGUCCAGGGUUUGACCAAAGAGGGUGAAAAGACCAGUUAUGUCCUGACCAAUAAGCUGGGAGAAGGAGACCCCCGGAGGUGAGCGAGUCCCCGGGGACUAAUAGACCGGGAGGAGCAGAGGCCUGAGUGACCUCGGAAGUACCUCCUAGC